UGGGGAAUUUUGGACAAUGGAGGAAACUCUGAUCCAGCAAUGCCGCGUGAGUGAAGAAGGCCUUCGGGUUGUAAAGCUCUUUUAACAAUGAAGAUGAUGACUGUAAUUGUAGAAUAAGGUCCGGCAAACUUCGUGCCAGCAGCCGCGGUAAUACGAAGGGAUCUAGCGUUGUUCGGAAUCACUGGGCGUAAAGCGCAAGUAGGUGGUUUGGUAAGUUAGAUGUGAAAUCCUUGGUUUUAAGCCAAGAACUGCAUUUAAUACUGCUAAACUUGAGUACAAAAGAGGAUAUUAGAAUUCCAAGUGUAGGGGUAAAAUCCGUAGAUAUUUGGAGGAAUACCAGAAGCGAAGGCGUAUAUCUGGUUUGUAACUGACACUGAGUUGCGAAAGCGUGGGGAGCAAA
rnacentral:rRNA from 1 species